rnacentral:rRNA from 1 species
AUGAACGCUGGCGGCGUGCUUAAUACAUGUAAGUCGAACGAGGAGUUUUUGUCUUCGGAUGGAAUCUCUUAGUGGCGAACGGGUGAGUAACACGUUGGUGACCUGCCCCGAAGCGGGGGAUAACAGUUCGAAAGGAUUGCUAAUACCCCAUGUGAUCAUUGGGAUUAGAUGCCUGAUGAUUAAAGGAGUAAUUCGCUUUGGGAGGGACCUGCGUCCCAUCAGCUAGUUGGUAGGGUUACGGCCUACCAAGGCGAUGACGGGUAGGGGACCUGAGAGGGUGACCCCCCACACUGGCACUGAAACACGGGCCAGACACCUACGGGUGGCAGCAGUAGGGAAUUUUGGACAAUGGGCGAAAGCCUGAUCCAGCAACGCCGCGUGUGCGAUGAAGGCCUUCGGGUUGUAAAGCACUUUUAGGGGAGAUGAGAAUGGACAGUACCCCCUGAAUAAGCCUCGGCUAACUACGU